CCAACCUGUUGAUCCUGUUCUUGUUAAUAUGACCUAGCCUACAAUGUCAAAGGUAGAUAUCAGAGACAUCAUCAGAUCUAGGGCGUUUACUUGUAGUGUACAUUACACUAACAGGUUGUGAUAAUAUAUAAAUGCCAUUGUUUAAUCGUCCAUUGAUUACUGUAACACCAUUCAUAAUGAUAUCACAAUAAUCCUUCUUUAUACAAAUUUCAUAACCGUUUAAGGCCAAAUGACCAACGGAAAUGACAUUCAUUAAGAAACUAGGACAAUAGUGACAUUCACCAA
rnacentral:lncRNA from 1 species